rnacentral:rRNA from 1 species
AAUAGAUACCCCGGUAGUCCACGCCGUAAACGAUGAAUGCUAGGUGUUAGGGGUUUCGAUACCCUUGGUGCCGAAGUUAACACAUUAAGCAUUCCGCCUGGGGAGUACGGCCGCAAGGCUGAAACUCAAAAGGAAUUGAACGGGGACCCGCACAAGCAGUGGAGUAUGUGGUUUAAUUCGAAGCAACGCGAAGAACCUUACCAGGUCUUGACAUCCCCCUGACCGGUACAGAGAUGUACCUUUCCUUCGGGACAGGGGAGACAGGUGGUGCAUGGUUGUCGUCAGCUCGUGUCGUGAGAUGUUGGGUUAAGUCCCGCAACGAGCGCAACCCUUGACUUUAGUUGCCAGCAGGUAAGGCUGGGCACUCUAGAGUGACUGCCGGUGACAAACCGGAGGAAGGUGGGGAUGACGUCAAAUCAUCACGCCCCUUAUGACCUGGGCUACACACGUACUACAAUGGCCGGUACAACGGGAAGCGAAGGAGCGAUCUGGAGCGAAAUCCUAUAAAGCCGGUCUCAGUUCGGAUUGCAGGCUGCAACUCGCCUGC